CCAAUAGCGUAUAUUAAAGUUGUUGCAGUUAAAAAGCUCGUAGUUGAAUUUCGGGGUUAGUAAGUUGGUCAUGCCUUUGGUAUGCACUGGCUUUACUGAUUCCUCCUUCUUGACGAACCGUGAUGUCAUUAAUUUGGUGUUGCGGGAAAUCAGGACUGUUACUUUGAAAAAAUUAGAGUGUUUAAAGCAGGCUAACGCUUGAAUACAUUAGCAUGGAAUAAUGAAAUAGGACGUUAAUCCUAUUUUGUUGGUUUCUAGGAUCGACGUAAUGAUUAAUUGGGAUAGUUGGGGGCAUUAGUAUUCAAUUGUCAGAGGUGAAAUUCUUGGAUUUAUUGAAGACUAACUACUGCGAAAGCAUUUGCCAAGGAUGUUUUCAUUAAUCAAGAACGAAAGUUAGGGGAUCGAAGACGAUCAGAUACCGUCGUAGUCUUAACCAUAAACUAUGCCGACUAGGGAUCGGAUGAUGUUAAUUCUUUAAUGACUCAUUCGGCGCCUUACG
rnacentral:rRNA from 1 species